rnacentral:rRNA from 1 species
CAGCAGUGGGGAAUCUUGCGCAAUGGGUGCAAGCCUGACGCAGCGACGCCGCGUGUGUGACGAAGGCCUUCGGGUCGUAAAGCACUGUCAGCCGGGAAGAAGACAUGCGUGUCAACCACGCGUGUGUUGACGGUACCGCCGAAGGAAGCACCGGCCAACUCCGUGCCAGCAGCCGCGGUAAGACGGAGGGUGCGAGCGUUGUUCGGAAUCAUUGGGCGUAAAGCGUGCGCAGGCGGCCCAGCCAGUCCGAUGUGAAAGCCCGGGGCUCAACUCCGGAAGCGCAUUGGAAACUGGGUGGCUUGAGUCCGAGAGGGGACCGUGGAAUUCCUGGUGUAGGGGUGAAAUCCGUAGAGAUCAGGAGGAACACCGGAGGUGAAAACGACGGUCUGGAUCGGGACUGACGCUGAGGCGCGAAAGCGCGGGUAGCGAACAGGAUUAGA